rnacentral:rRNA from 1 species
GAUAAGCUAUAUAAGAGCGUAAGGUGGAUGCCUUGGCUCUCAGAGGCGAUGAAGGACGUGAUAAGCUGCGAUAAGCUACGGGGAUUGGCACACACAAUUUGAUCCGUAGAUCUCCGAAUGGGGCAACCCACUAUAUUGAAGAUAUAGUAUCCGUUAAGGAAGCAAACCCAGGGAACUGAAACAUCUAAGUACCUGGAGGAAUAGAAAACAAAAGUGAUUCCGUUAGUAGUGGCGAGCGAACGCGGAACAGCCCAAACC